rnacentral:rRNA from 1 species
AUUGAACGCUGGCGGCAGGCCUAACACAUGCAAGUCGAGCGGAUGAAGGGAGCUUGCUCCUGGAUUCAGCGGCGGACGGGUGAGUAAUGCCUAGGAAGCUGCCUGGUAGUGGGGGAUAACGUCCGGAAACGGGCGCUAAUACCGCAUCCGUCCUGAUGUAGAAAGUGGGGGAUCUUCGGACCUCACGCUAUCAGAUGAGCCUAGGUCGGAUUAGCUAGUUGGUGGGGUAAAGGCCUGCCAAGGCGACGAUCCGUAACUGGUCUGAGAGGAUGAUCAGUCACACUGGAACUGAGACACGGUCCAGACUCCUACGGGAGGCAGCAGUGGGGAAUAUUGGACAAUGGGCGAAAGCCUGAUCCAGCCAUGCCGCGUGUGUGAAGAAGGUCUUCGGAUUGUAAAGCACUUUAAGUUGGGAGGAAGGGCAGUAAGUUAAUACCUUGCUGUUUUGACGUUACCAACAGAAUAAGCAACGGCUAACUUCGUG